GUUGACACUUCAGCAUUGUUAUAAGUUAUAGAAAGUAAAUAUGUUAAUAUAGGAAGUAAAUAUUGAUAGAUGGAUCAGUUGCUUAAUCUUAGGGAUUGUAUAAUUAUAGGCAUGAUUUUUCUUCCUGUUUAGUUACCAUCUCUCAUGUAUAAAUAGGUUAUAAUCUCUAUUGUGAUAUACAAAAAUAAAUAUUAUCUUUCUACAUGGUAUCAAAACCUUUCUCAUAGAGAUUUUUUUUUCUCUUUUCUCUCUCGUAAAGUUUUAAAAUUUUUUUUGGGAGACUUAGGGCUCCGUUCAUUUGGGUUAUCCAUAAAGGGUAACAUUUGGAUCUCACCAUCGCUGGAAUCACCACACCGACUCCUUGUCAGAUUUGAGGUUUGUUUGCCGUUCGGGUGUUGGGUGGAGGUGUUUUAUUUGGUACUGUUCAUCGGCACUGUUCACGUGGUACUGUUCAUCGGUACUGUUCACGUCAGGUACUGUUCAUCGGUACUGUUCACGCCGGGUACUGUUUUCUGAUUCUGUGUUUCUUUUGUUGCUAUCGUUUUUGGGUUGGUUGUCCUUAUGGCUGGAGUUAAAACCACCACCGUAACUGAUGUGAUUCCUAUGAUGACUAAAAUCACGGAACACAAAUUGAAUGGAUCUUCCGAUCAGGGAAUUUUGAUAUCUGCAGAUGAGUAUGCACAAUUCAUCCAAUACCAGGCAUCAAUCUUCUAAUUCCUCCUCUAUCACUGCAAUUGCCGAGUCAGGUAACUCUACUGCAUGUCUUGUGUCUUCAUUCUCCAAAUGGGUUAUUGAUUCUGAUGGUACCGAUCAUAUGUCAGGAAAUUCUACCCUUUUGUCCAAUCUUGAGUCUCAUACAUCGCCUUCUUAUGUUAUUCUUGCUGAUGGCACUAAAUCGUCUGUCAUGGGUUCUGGUCAUGUCAACUUAACCCCUUCUCUUUCUGUAUCCUCUGUGUUAUGUCUCCCUAAGUUCGCAUUUAAUUUGCUUUCCGUGAGUAAACUCACCCGUGCAUUAAAUUGUUGUCUCAUUCUUUCCUGAUUACUGUGUUUUUCAGGAUCUUUCGACGAAGCAGAUUAUUGGUAGAGGAAGUGAGUCAGAGGGUCUUUACGUCUUGGAUCAGCAACUACCUCGAUCUCCUCGAUCUCUGGUAUGCUCCACGCGUUUAACACCUUUUGAUGUUCAUUGUCAUUUAGGGCAUCCUUCUCUCUCAGUUUUGAAGAAGUUAUAUCCACAGUUUCAUUCUUUGUCUAUUCUAGAUUGUGAGUCUUGUCAAUUUGCCAAACAUCAUCGUUUACCUACACUGUCUCGAGUCAAUAAACGGGCUUCAUCUCCCUUUGAGUUAGUCCAUUCAGAUGUUUGGGGUCCUUGUCCUGUUGUGUCUAAGUCUGGCUUUAAGUAUUUUGUUACUUUUGUUGAUGAUUUCUCUCGUACUACUUGGUUAUUUUUAAUGAAGAGUCGUUCAGAAUUAUUUUUCUAUUUUUUAUGCAUUUUAUGCUGAAAUCCAAACCCAAUUCAAUACUUCCAUCUGUAUAUUGCAAAGUUGAUAAUGCUAAAGAGUAUCUCUCUGGGGAAUUUCAAUCUUAUUUGUUACAAAAAGGGAUUCUUCAUCAGUCCUCUUGUGUUGCCACUCCUUCACAAAAUGGAGUUGCUGAAAGAAAAAAUCGACAUCUUCUUGAAGUAGCCAGAGCCCUCUUAUGCUGUAUCCACUGCUUGUUUUUUGAUCAAUCGCAUGCCUUUCUCCGUCCUUCAUGGUGAUAUCCCUUAUAACAUUUUAUUUCCCACUAAAUCUUUGUUUCCUAUUGAGCCACGUCUCUUUGGUUGUACUUGUUUUGUUCGUGAUGUUCGUCCACAGGUUACUAAAUUGGAUCCCAAAUCACUCAAAUGUGUCUUCCUUGGCUACUCUCGACGUCAGAAAGGGUAUCGUUGUGUUUUUCUCCUAAUCUGAAUCGGUAUCUUGUGUCUGCGGAUGUAACAUUCUUUGAGUCUACUCCGUUUUUUCCGCCAUCAUCUGUUUAUAACACCCAGGAGGAGGAAGAUGUCCUCUUGUUAUACACUGUUCGCUCUUCGUCUCCUACUCCUACACCUUUCGCUCAUGUGCCAGGUCGCCCUCCCAUCUUUCAUGUGUAUUCCAGACGCUUAGAGGACUCUGACUCCGUUCCGCUACCCGCUUCUUCGUCGACAGAUCCUGCUCCUACUGAUCCUUCAUUGUCUGAUUUGGAUUUGCCCAUUACUCUUCGUAAAGGUAAACGUACUUGCACUUAUCCUAUUUCAUCUUGUGUCUCUUAUGAUCAAUUAUCCUCCUCUUCUCGUUGUUUUGUCACUGCUUUAGAUUCUAUUUCAAUUCACAAAACUGUUAUUGAGGCUUUGUCCCAUCCUGGUUGGCGUGCUGCAAUGGAAGAGAAAAUGAUGGCCCUUGACACUAAUGGUACUUGGGAAUUGAUGUCCUUGCCCCCAGGAAAGCGGGCUAUUGGGUGCAAAUGGGUGUUUGCAGUGAAAGUAAAUCCUAAUGGAUCUACUGCUCGCCUCAAGGCCCGUUUAGUGGCCAAAGGUUAUGCACAAACUUAUGGAGUUGACUAUUCUGAUACAUUCUCCCCAGUUGCCAAGCUCACAUCUGUCCGAUUGUUUAUUUCCUUGGCGGCUACUCAUGAUUGGCCUUUGCAUCAACUGGAUAUUAAAAAUGCUUUUCUUCAUGGUGAUCUUCAGGAGGAGGUUUAUAUUGAGCAACCACCUAGUUUUGUUGCUCAGGGGGAGUCAGGUAAGGUUUGUAGACUUCGAAAAUCGCUUUAUGGCUUGAAACAGAGUCCUCGGGCAUGGUUUGGCAGGUUUAGUGAGGUGGUCCAACAAUUUGGAAUGAAGAUGAGUAAGUGUGAUCACUCAAGUGUUUUAUAAAAAUUCUGAUAGUGGAGUAAUUCUGCUUGUAGUAUAUGUGGAUGAUAUCGUUAUCACAGGAAGUGACAUUGCUGGCAUCACAUCCCUAAAAGAAUUUCUUAAAACACAGUUUCAUACAAAGGAUUUGGGUUCCUUGAAAUAUUUCUUGGGAAUCGAAGUUAUGCGGUGUAAGAAAGGCAUCUUCUUGUCUCAAAGAAAAUAUGUUCUUGAUUUGUUGGAAGAAACAGGAAAAUUGGGUGCUAAGCCUUGUAGUGCCCCAAUGACCCCUAACCUUCAACUUACCACAGAAGACAGUGAGCCAUUUGCAGAUCCUGGGAUGCUCUGGGACAGAUUCUUUGUUACCUUAAAGGGGCCCCAGGGCGAGGCCUAUUCUAUGGUAACCAUGGGCACUCAAAUAUUGAAUGCUUUUGUGAUGCUGAUUGGGCAGGCUCGAAAGUUGAUAGGAGGUCAAUUACUGGGUAUUGUGUUUUUGUGGGAGGUAACUUGGUCUCAUGGAAAAGUAAGAAGCAAAAUGUGGUCUCCCGUUCUAGUGCUGAAUCUGAAUAUCGAGCUAUGGCACAAGCGUUUGUGAAAUCUUGUGGGUACGUCAACUGUUGGAAGAAGUUGGGUUCACAAAUUUGGUGCCUGCUAAGUUGUGGUGUGAUAAUCAAGCAGCUAUCCACAUUGCCUCCAAUUCAGUAUUUCACGAGAAGACUAAACACAUUGAGAUUGAUUGUCAUUUUGUUCGUGAAAAGGUCCAACAAAAGAUAAUAUCAACAGAACAUAUCCGAACUGGAGAACAAUUAGGAGAUAUUUUCACUAAAGCUCUAAAUGGGACUCGAGUUGAUUAUAUAUGUAACAAGUUGGGCAUGAUUAACAUUUAUGAUCCAACUUGAGGGGGAGUGUUAUAAGUUAUAGAAAGUAAAUAUGUUAAUAUAGGAAGUAAAUAUUGAUAGAUGGAUCAGUUGCUUAAUCUUAGGGAUUGUAUAAUUAUAGGCUUGAUUUUCCUUCCUGUUUAGUUACCGUCUCUCAUGUAUAAAUAGGUUAUAAUCUCUAUUGUGAUAUACAAAAAUAAAUAUUAUCUUUCUACAAGCAUUAAAGAGUUCAAGCCUCAUUCUCGUUUAAAUCCAUAACUCAAUAGCAUCUUAGAUGAUAGAAGCGUACAACAGCUAUGCUUGUGCAUGUAACAAAAAUGAUGAUAUAAUUAUUACUAGCACAUUUAUUUUAAUAAUAAUAAAUG
rnacentral:lncRNA from 1 species